GCAUUCUGCCCCGAACUGUAGAAGAAGUUGUAGCUGUCACCGAUCAUCUGGCUGAACAGCAGGUCCGGGUUAGGUUUACCCCCA
rnacentral:antisense_RNA from 1 species